rnacentral:rRNA from 1 species
CUCAACGGAUAAAAGGUACUCCGGGGAUAACAGGCUGAUACCGCCCAAGAGUUCAUAUCGACGGCGGUGUUUGGCACCUCGAUGUCGGCUCAUCACAUCCUGGGGCUGAAGUAGGUCCCAAGGGUAUGGCUGUUCGCCAUUUAAAGUGGUACGCGAGCUGGGUUUAGAACGUCGUGAGACAGUUCGGUCCCUAUCUGCCGUGGGCGCUGGAGAACUGAGGGGGGCUGCUCCUAGUACGAGAGGACCGGAGUGGACGCAUCACUGGUGUUCGGGUUGUCAUGCCAAUGGCACUGCCCGGUAGCUAAAUGCGGAAGAGAUAAGUGCUGAAAGCAUCUAAGCACGAAACUUGCCCCGAGAUGAGUUCUCCCUGACCCUUUAAGGGUCCUGAAGGAACGUUGAAGACGACGACGUUGAUAGGCCGGGUGUGUAAGCGCAGCGAUGCGUUGAGCUAACCGGUACUAAUGAACCGUGAGGCUUAACCUUACAACGCCGAAG